GAUGAACGCUGGCGGCGUGCCUAAUACAUGCAAGUCGAGCGAACAGACGAGGAGCUUGCUCCUCUGACGUUAGCGGCGGACGGGUGAGUAACACGUGGAUAACCUACCUAUAAGACUGGGAUAACUUCGGGAAACCGGAGCUAAUACCGGAUAAUAUAUUGAACCGCAUGGUUCAAUAGUGAAAGACGGUUUUGCUGUCACUUUAGAUGGAUCCGCGCCGCAUUAGCUAGUUGGUAAGGUAACGGCUUACCAAGGCGACGAUGCGUAGCCGACCUGAGAGGGUGAUCGGCCACACUGGAACUGAGACACGGUCCAGACUCCUACGGGAGGCAGCAGUAGGGAAUCUUCCGCAAUGGGCGAAAGCCUGACGGAGCAACGCCGCGUGAGUGAUGAAGGUCUUCGGAUCGUAAAACUCUGUUAUUAGGGAAGAACAAAUGUGUAAGUAACUAUGCACGUCUUGACGGUACCUAAUCAGAAAGCCACGGCUAACUACGUG
rnacentral:rRNA from 1 species